rnacentral:ncRNA from 11 species
UGAUGGCCGAGGGGUCUAAGGCGCUAGUCUAAGGCGCUAGUAAAUUAUCGCGGGUUCGAAUCCCACUCAUG